CGUGACGUAAUGAUCUUUUCUUGGUACCGGAAGUCGAGUGAUUUUCAUAACAAAGCCAACAUGCGGCGACCCAGAACGCGCUCCACACGAUGCUUUACCAAAUAUGGAAACUCGAUUCAGAUAACGAAAGUAAAUAUCGCGGACCGACGAUUGUGUGUAUGUAGCGGCGGGAACAUAUCGUCGGGGAUAAGUGGGGCUAAGUGAUUGAAGGACGGCAGUUUUAGAUGCUCGCGUUACAUGUUGCGACACCGACAAAUUUCUUAGAAAAUGAUACCUUCCAACUCCAGUUGCAUCAAAACAGAAUAUUGAAUCCUGUGAUCUGAUUGUCAUCGUCCAAAAAG